rnacentral:tRNA from 1 species
UACAUUUUAGUAUAUGACGUACGUAAACUUUUGAUGUUUAAGGUAAUAGUUUAAUUCUAUUAAAUGUAA